rnacentral:rRNA from 1 species
UCUGUAGCAAGGUUAACCGAAUAGGGGAGCCGGAGGGAAACCGAGUCUUAAUUGGGCGUUAAGUUGCAGGGUAUAGACCCGAAACCCGGUGAUCUAGCCAUGGGCAGGUUGAAGGUUGGGUAACACUAACUGGAGGACCGAACCGACUAAUGUUGAAAAAUUAGCGGAUGACCUGUGGCUGGGGGUGAAAGGCCAAUCAAACCGGGAGAUAGCUGGUUCUCCCCGAAAGCUAUUUAGGUAGCGCCUCGUGAAUUCAUCUCCGGGGGUAGAGCACUGUUUCGGCUAGGGGGCCAUCCCGGCUUACCAACCCGAUGCAAACUGCGAAUACCGGAGAAUGUUAUCACGGGAGACACACGGCGGGUGCUAACGUCCGUCGUGAAGAGGGAAACAACCCAGACCGCCAGCUAAGGUCCCAAAGUCAUGGUUAAGUGGGAAACGAUGUGGGAAGGCCCAGACAGCCAGGAUGUUGGCUUAGAAGCAGCCAUCAUUUAAAGAAAGCGUAAUAGCUCACUGGUCGAGUCGGCCUGCGCGGAAGAUGUAACGGGGCUAAACCAUGCACCGAAG